rnacentral:rRNA from 1 species
GUAGGGGGCAAGCGUUGUCCGGAUUUAUUGGGCGUAAAGAGCGUGUAGGCGGUUAGGUAGGUCCGUUGUGAAAACUCGAGGCUCAACCUCGAGACGCCGAUGGAAACCAUCUGACUAGAGUCCGGAAGAGGAGAGUGGAAUUCCUGGUGUAGCGGUGAAAUGCGCAGAUAUCAGGAAGAACACCCGUGGCUAAGGCGGCUCUCUAGUACGUGACUGACGCUGAGACGCGAAAGCGUGGGGAGCGAACAGGAUUAGAUACCCUGGUAGUCCACGCCGUAAACGAUGGGUGCUAGGUGUAGGGGGUGUCGACUCCCUCUGUGCCGAAGCUAACGCAUUAAGCACCCCGCCUGGGGAGUACGGCCGCAUGGCUA